ACAGAGGGUGCGAGCGUUAAUCGGAAUUACUGGGCGUAAAGCGUGCGCAGGCGGUUAUGUAAGACAGGUGUGAAAUCCCCGGGCUUAACCUGGGAACUGCACUUGUGACUGCAUAGCUUGAGUGCGGCAGAGGGGGAUGGAAUUCCGCGUGUAGCAGUGAAAUGCGUAGAUAUGCGGAGGAACACCGAUGGCGAAGGCAAUCCCCUGGGCCUGCACUGACGCUCAUGCACGAAAGCGUGGGGAGCAAACAGGAUUAGAUACCCUGGUAGUCCACGCCCUAAACGAUGUCAACUGGUUGUUGGACGGCUUGCUGUUCAGUAACGUAGCUAACGCGUGAAGUUGACCGCCUGGGGAGUACGGCCGCAAGGUUG
rnacentral:rRNA from 1 species